rnacentral:rRNA from 1 species
UUAUACCGUGAAACUGCGAAUGGCUCAUUAAAUCAGUUAUCGUUUAUUUGAUAAUACCUUACUACUUGGAUAACCGUGGUAAUUCUAGAGCUAAUACAUGCUAAAAACCCCGACUUCGGGAGGGGUGUAUUUAUUAGAUAAAAAACCAAUGCCCUCCGGGGCUCCUUGGUGAUUCAUAAUAACUUCUCAGAUCGCAUGGCUCCAUGCCGGCGACGGUUCAUUCAAAUUUCUGCCCUAUCAACUUUCGAUGGUAAGGUAGUGGCUUACCAUGGUUUCAACGGGUAACGGGGAAUUAGGGUUCGAUUCCGGAGAGGGAGCCUGAGAAACGGCUACCACAUCCAAGGAAGGCAGCAGGCGCGCAAAUUACCCAAUUCCGACAUGGAGAGGUAGUGACAAUAAAUACUGAUACAGGGCUCUUUUGGGUCUUGUAAUUGGAAUGAGUACAAUUUAAACCUCUUAACGAGGAACAAUUGGAGGGCAAGUCUGGUGCCAGCAGCCGCGGUAAUUCCAGCUCCAAUAGCGUAUAUUAAAGUUGUUGCAGUUAAAAAGCUCGUAGUUGAACCUUUGGCCUGGCUGGCAGGUCCGCCUCACCGCGUGCACUUGUCCGGCCGGGCCUUCUCUUCUGGAGAACCGCAUGCCCUUCACUGGGUGUGUUGGGGACCAGGACUUUUACUUUGAAAAAAUUAGAGUGUUCAAAGCAGGCCUUUGCUCGAAUACGUUAGCAUGGAAUAAUAGAAUGGACGUGCGGUCCUAUUUUGUUGGUUUCUAGGACCGCCGUAAUGAUUAAUAGGGACAGUCGGGGGCAUCAGUAUUCAAUUGUCAGAGGUGAAAUUCUUGGAUUUAUUGAAGACUAACUACUGCGAAAGCAUUUGCCAAGGAUGUUUUCAUUAAUCAGUGAACGAAAGUUAGGGGAUCGAAGACGAUCAGAUACCGUCGUAGUCUUAACCAUAAACUAUGCCGACUAGGGAUCGGGCGGUGUUUCUAUUGUGACCCGCUCGGCACCUUACGAGAAAUCAAAG